UUGAUGACUAGCACUUUAGUAGAGCUGAAGGCUGCCAUUUGUAAAUAGUAACUAUAUUUAUUAAGUUAAGGAGUUGCUGAAGGUUGGAAAAGGCACUCAAUACUGUCUUACCCCAGAAUUUUGGACUAUGAAGACUAGUGUUUUUCAUCCUCUCUCCUGUCCUUGUCUCUGUUAUUGAUGUCUGGGAGCCUGAAGGCACAGCGUACUAUGACUGCAAGAUGGCACCUUCAGCAUGAACACUGGCUAUGAGGACUCUGGAUGGAAGAACGGAAGAGGAGAAUGCUAGGAAUUCCCUGUGCAACUAGAGAGGAGUGCUCGCCACAGAACUGGGCUGAAACCUAAGUACAACAAUAAUGAGCCAGACUUGAUUCGCAUGGAACCAACAGGACACUUACUCCUUCAGCUGCUUGGUUAACUUCACAACCUGAGAGGCCAGCGACAUGCAGGUCUCCACCACUACCAGGUACCUGGAGCACAGGGUGUGCCCCUGCCGCUCGGCGCUCUGGGAGGGCUUUUCCCCAGCGUGGUUCUGCAUGGUGACAUUUGCUCCAUAUUCAACCAAAGUCUGUCAAAAAAUGAAGAGACAUGUGUAUCAGGACAUCCCUGUACACAUUAUUUUUAAGUGACUGUAACAGAAUGUUGAAUAGGAUAAAGAGAGCAUCUAGGGACCUUUCAGCAGUCAGUUUCACACACCUCCCUUCAGAGUCUAUCAUGACAGAGAAGAGCCAAUCCUACUGCUACCAAUGCCCACCUGCAGCCCACAGAAGAAGAGGGCUGGGAAGGAGAGGAGGAGGCCGUCCACAGAGUGCUCUCCUUUAUGAGAUAUGCAGCGCAGUCUUUGUGGUGAGUUCUGUCCCUUGUCAUGGUUGGGCUCCAAGAGAAUCACUCAUAAAGUCAGAGAUGCCUGUAAGAGGGGAGACUGAAAUCUUACCUGUUCUUGUUUGCUUGGGCUUUAGUAACUGGAUUUAGUCUCUGGUCAUUGGUUUUGGAAUAACACUUGUUUAUUUGUUGCUGAGCCCACCUGAUCAGGAAUAAAA